GUGGGGAAUUUUGGACAAUGGGCGCAAGCCUGAUCCAGCAAUGCCGCGUGCAGGAAGAAGGCCUUCGGGUUGUAAACUGCUUUUGUACGGAACGAAACGGUCCUGGCUAAUACCCGGGGCUAAUGACGGUACCGUAAGAAUAAGCACCGGCUAACUACGUGCCAGCAGCCGCGGUAAUACGUAGGGUGCGAGCGUUAAUCGGAAUUACUGGGCGUAAAGCGUGCGCAGGCGGUGCUGUAAGACAGGCGUGAAAUCCCCGGGCUCAACCUGGGAAUUGCGCUUGUGACUGCAGUGCUGGAGUGCGGCAGAGGGGGAUGGAAUUCCGCGUGUAGCAGUGAAAUGCGUAGAUAUGCGGAGGAACACCGAUGGCGAAGGCAAUCCCCUGGGCCUGCACUGACGCUCAUGCGCGAAAGCGUGGGGAGCAAACAGGAUUAGAUACCCUUGUAGUCC
rnacentral:rRNA from 1 species